UUGGUCAAAGCUGUGCGUUUUUGACCUGAGUUGCAUUAAAUAGUCUCAUAAAACUUAGUACUAUUUGUUGUUCAAAUGGUAACAUAUAUGCACAAAAACUUGGAAAAUAUUAGAUGAUUGUUUUUUAAAAAUGCUAUUUAUAAAAUUUCCUCUUGAUUUCAUCAAGUGCAUUCGUCGCCGGAGAAUGAUGUUGCAUUUCACCCAGGUGGAAAUUUCUUGGUGACUGGCGGCGAUGACGAUACAAUAACAUUGCUUGAUUUGUUAGAAGGUCGACCAAUUUAUACACGGUAGUAGUGCACUUUAGCGGAACCAGGUCAAAAUGGACGGGAAAAUUAUACACUAACUGGCCAUACUGACAAAGUUUGCGCCGUCGCUUUCUCCACAUGGUGGACAUUUUGCUUCCGCGGGCGAGUAUCGACUGUUGCUCGUUGGGAAAUCUAAUUUGCAUACAUUUGAUGCCAAUAGCUUUCGCAACAAACAAGCCAGUUCUCAAAGAGUCCAAAUUGAUUUUAAUCAUGCAACAGCUCCACAUAACUCAGCCAUAGACACACCAGUUGCUGCAGUACCAAAAAGCUGUGAUGACAGUAUUUUAAUUGAUCAACGACAAUCGGUGGCAUAUGGAAUGCGUGAUGGAAAUUUUCUGGUGUUUGAUAGCCAAUAUACUACAAGAUUACAUUAAGAAGCUAAUAGAGGACAGAGCUGUUGGUGAGGAAGGUGUGGAGUUACUGCAGUACUGCAACUGGGAAAAUCUACACUUCGCACGUGCCCCACUCGUAUGGAAUAGUAGCUUAUGUCAAAAGGCUGCUUUUAGUAUUGCGGCAUUCGCUGCAUACCCUCACUGGCGCCGAGCCGUUGAAGAAAUUUUGGCAA